rnacentral:tRNA from 1 species
GCCGAUGUGGCUCAGGAGCGACAGCAGCAGUUUCGUAAACUGCCGGGCACAUUGCCCCGCGAGAGUGCGAAUCUCUCCAUCGGCUCCA